rnacentral:rRNA from 1 species
UACGGAGGGGGCGAGCGUUGUUCGGAGUUACUGGGCGUAAAGCGCACGUAGGCGGUGCGGUAAGUCAGGGGUUAAAGGCUGCAGCUCAACUGCAGUAAGGCCUCAGAUACUAUCGUGCUAGAGUGCCGGAGAGGGUAGCGGAAUUCCCUGUGUAGCGGUGAAAUGCGUAGAUAUAGGGAGGAACACCGGUUGCGAAGGCGGCUACCUGGCCGGUAACUGACGCUGAGGUGCGAAAGCGUGGGGAGCAAACAGG